AGUGAACGCUGGCGGUAGGCCUAACACAUGCAAGUCGAACGGCAGCACAGUAAGAGCUUGCUCUUACGGGUGGCGAGUGGCGGACGGGUGAGGAAUACAUCGGAAUCUACUUUUUCGUGGGGGAUAACGUAGGGAAACUUACGCUAAUACCGCAUACGACCUACGGGUGAAAGCAGGGGAUCUUCGGACCUUGCGCGAUUGAAUGAGCCGAUGUCGGAUUAGCUAGUUGGCGGGGUAAAGGCCCACCAAGGCGACGGUCCGUAGCUGGUCUGAGAGGAUGAUCAGCCACACUGGAACGUAGACACGGUCCAGACUCCUACGGGAGGCAGCAGUGGGGAAUAUUGGACAAUGGGCGCAAGCCUGAUCCAGCCAUACCGCGUGGGUGAAGAAGGCCUUCGGGUUGUAAAGCCCUUUUGUUGGGAAAGAAAAGCAGCAGGUUAAUACCCCGCUGUUCUGACGGUACCCAAAGAAUAAGCACCGGCUAACUUCGUG
rnacentral:rRNA from 1 species